GACGUAGGAGGCGAGCGUUAUCCGGAUUCAUUGGGCGUAAAGGGCAAGUAGCGGUUGUCAAAGUUGGGCGUGACAUCUCCUGGCUUAACUAGGAAGGGUCGUUCAAAACUAGGCGACUAGAGGGCAGAAGAGGAAAGCGGAACUCCUGAUGUAGCGGUGGAAUGCUCAGAUAUCAGGAAGAACACCAGUGGCGAAGGCGGCUUUCUGGUCUGCACCUGACGCUGAGAGGCGAAGGCCAGGGUAGCGAACGGGCUUAGAUACCCCUGUAGU
rnacentral:rRNA from 1 species